GCAAUUUUCUCUCUCCUGAGGCAUGGGGCACAGGCCUGAGAGAAGAGCCUAAGAAGGACCCUGGGCUGUUGAUCCCAGGUCCCGCGCACAGGCUGGGAAGGGGAGAAGCAGGAACGUUCUCUCUGGUUCCUUCCUUUCUCUGCCCAACACACCAGGAAGCCAGGUGCAGAUGUGAAAAUUCUGAGAAACCCAGAAAACUCAGGGGAAAAGAAUCCUGCAUUUCUCUCCCUAUAAUUUUCCAGGCAUUCACAUCUUUAAAUAUACUAACCAUGAUUUCUUUCAACAAAAAAUGAGACAUGCAUAAUGCAUCGCAUGUUCUUAAAAUACCCAGAUGACUUCACACUGGUAAAGGAGGCUUAAAAAAAUUGUACGGCAUAGAUUUUGAUUUUCUCCCCAGAAGCUUUCUCUUAGUGGAGAAAUCCUGCUUCUCCCAGCCCGGCCUGCUUCCCUUGCUGUCCUCUCCUCUGCCCUGUCUUUGCCUUCCUCCCUCCCUCCUAUGUGUCAAGUUUCUCUGUCCCCUUCUCGGCAAGGAAAGAGAACCGGGAACUGCUUUGCUUGGCAGUUCUGCCUCUCAUCUGCCGCUGUUUGCCUCUUGCCUUUGAGCGUGCGAAAGUUUCUUCCUCUGCGUGUGGAUCUGUCUUCCUCUCUGACGCUGUUUUAGCUUCUCUCCUUCUGUUGGAUGCUGUCUUGACCCAAUCAGCAUCUCAUCUGAUCCUCCCAAUCUCCCCUUGAGGCUGAUCUGGUUACCCCCACUUUACAGCUGAGAGGAAUUCUGGCUCAGACAGUGAAGUGACUGCCUGGAGGUCACACAGCACUUGGCCUGGUGUUAACCUCAAAGCAAACACUUGGAAAAGCCUUAAUGAAUGGAGACAGGUUGCUUGUGGAGUGGAGCAAAGGAGGCCAGAGACCUGCUGCUUCUGCCACUGACAAGCUGUGGGAUUUGGAGAAAGCCCCUGACCCUCUCUGGGCUUCAGUUUCCCCAUUUCUAAAUGAAGGAGGCUGGACUGGGUCCUCCUUAAGGAUCCUCCCAAUUCUGACGGCUCUGAAAUGGGAAUGAAUGAAGUGCUACUGUUCUUUCUCCCUCA